GGGUUGUGAGGUUAAGCGACUAAGCGUACACGGUGGAUGCCCUGGCAGUCAGAGGCGAUGAAGGACGUGCUAAUCUGCGAUAAGCGUCGGUAAGGUGAUAUGAACCGUUAUAACCGGCGAUUUCCGAAUGGGGAAACCCAGUGUGAUUCGUCACACUAUCAUUAACUGAAUCCAUAGGUUAAUGAGGCGAACCGGGGGAACUGAAACAUCUAAGUACCCCGAGGAAAAGAAAUCAACCGAGAUUCCCCCAG
rnacentral:rRNA from 3 species